AUUGAACGCUGGCGGCAGGCCUAACACAUGCAAGUCGAGCGGAGCGGCGGACGGGUGAGUAAUGCCUAGGAAUCUGCCUGGUCUUGGGGGAUAACGUCCGGUAAUGGGCGCUGAUACCGCAUACUAUCAGAUGAGCCUAGGUCGGAUUAGCUAGUUGGUGGGGUAAAGGCUUACCAUGGCGACGAUCCGUAACUGGGCGGAGAGGAUGAUCAGUCACACUGGAACUGAGACACGGUCCAGACUCCUGCGGGGGGCAGCAGUGGGGAAUAUUGGACAAUGGGCGAAAGCCUUAUCCAGCAAUGCCGCGUGGGUGAAGAAGGUCUUCGGAUUGUAAAGCACUUUAAGUUGGGAGGCGUUACCAACAGAAUAAGCACCGGCUAACUUCGUGCCAGCAGCCGCGGUAAUAC
rnacentral:rRNA from 1 species